AUAGGGGCAAUCGUUUCGGCAGAGAGAGGGACUUUAGUUACCGUUGUUUGUGCAAUUUCGGCUUUAGGAAACACAAUCCCCCCUUUUUUUGUUUUUCUAAGAGUGAACUUCAAAAGCCACUUUCUUAAUGGAGGUCCUAUAGGAUGUGCAGGUACUGCAAACAAAUCUGGAUGGAUGUAAAAAGAUGUAAGGCCAACUUGCCCCGACUUCACGGGCAACUUGCCCCACUUACGGGGUAAGUUGCCAGCUGAAAGUGUCCGAAUAAAACUGUUUUUUGGGCA